rnacentral:rRNA from 1 species
CGAACGGAGCUUAGAGAGCUUGCUUUUUAAGCUUAGUGGCGAACGGGUGAGUAACGCGUGAGUAACCUGCCCUAGAGUGGGGGACAACAGUUGGAAACGACUGCUAAUACCGCAUAAGCCCACGGUACCGCAUGGUACUGAGGGAAAAGGAUUUAUUCGCUUUAGGAUGGACUCGCGUCCAAUUAGCUAGUUGGUGAGGUAACGGCCCACCAAGGCGACGAUUGGUAGCCGGACUGAGAGGUUGAACGGCCACAUUGGGACUGAGACACGGCCCAGACUCCUACGGGAGGCAGCAGUGGGGGAUAUUGCACAAUGGGGGAAACCCUGAUGCAGCGACGCCGCGUGGAGGAAGAAGGUUUUCGGAUUGUAAACUCCUGUCGUUAGGGACGAUAAUGACGGUACCUAACAAGAAAGCACCGGCUAACUACGUGCCAGCAGCCGCGGUAAAACGUAGGGUGCAAGCGUUGUCCGGAAUUACUGGGUGUAAAGGGAGCGCAGGCGGGAAGACAAGUUGGAAGUGAAAACCAUGGGCUCAACCCAUGAAUUGCUUUCAAAACUGUUUUUCUUGAGUAGUGCAGAGGUAGAUGGAAUUCCCGGUGUAGCGGUGGAAUGCGUAGAUAUCGGGAGGAACACCAGUGGCGAAGGCGGUCUACUGGGCACCAACUGACGCUGAGGCUC